rnacentral:lncRNA from 1 species
GAGUAAUGGGUGAAUAAUAAAUGGAUUAAAGAGGAACUCUAAACAAUUAGUGUUAAUGAACUCCUACUCAGGGAAAUGCAAAAAUAAGAAUGAGAAUAGUACUUAAUAUCUUCCAAUAGAAUUUGAAAGUUUGGACAAUAUGUUAGAGAAAAUUUGAUGGGGGCUUGUCCAGUAGGAUAACUGUGUAGCGGGUGAAAGUGUAAAUUGGUACAACCACUUUGGAAGAAUAUCCGGCUGUAUCUAGGGAUGCUAAAAAUGUAUGUAUACACUGAAUCAGAAACUUCUUAAGGUAAGCCCAAAGUGACAGGUACAGUGACGUUCAUAUAACACUGUUAUGAUGAAAAACAGAAACAACUUAAAUAAUAAUAUGGUUAUAUUCAAAGAAUUGAUAUAACUAGAAAUUAAAAAUAGGACCUGGAUAUACAUACAUAUAUUAUUUGGAAAAAUUCCCUAAGCAUAAUGUCGAGUGACAGAGCAAUGUAUUUAUAAUUUGUUUCUGUAUUUAUGUAAAUAUAGCAUGAACAAAAUGAAUAAUUCUCUAUCAGUUAUGAACACCUCUGACAAGUGAUUAUUGAAGAAUCAUUGAAUGAUUAAAGAAAGCAUGGCCUUGAAGAAUGCACAGCAUGUUUAAGAAGAGAUGUGUACAAAAUAGGAGAACAUAAGGGACCAAUAAAUUAAAAACCCCUACACAGAAUGUGAAAUAAAAAGCACUUUUUUUGCCUGCUGGACUGAUUGAGAAGAACAGGGUUAGAUUGUGUUCUUUGCCUAUUUUGUAAAACUUUGUUUUGAUUUCUUCAUCUGUAAAAUGAGAACUAAUAGUAGUACCGACUUAAUAGGAUUGUUUUGAAGAAUAUAUAAAAUAAUCCACGUAGAGUGCUCAUCUCUGCCUGGCAAGUAUGCUGAAGUAUGUCCUUGCUUGAGUGAAGACUGAACUCAUUACAUGUCAUCUACUACAGCUGUGACUUAAAUGAAACAGAUCAGUUAUAGGAUACUUGAUUCAUAAAGAAUAUUUUCCUUUUUAGAGACUCUUUUUAGAUAACAAAUGUUUCUAGGAUAUUAUAAUAAACUUGUUUUUUGUUUUGUUUUUUGUCUUUUUAGAGCCACACCCGAGGCAUAUGGAGGUUUCCAGGCUAGGGUUCCAAUCAGAGCUGUAGCAACUGGCCUGUACCACAGCCACAGCAAUGCCAGAUCUGAGCCACAUCUGCAACCUAUACUACAGCUCACAGCAACGCUGGAUCCUUAACCCACUGAGCAAGGCCAGGGAUUGAACGUAUUUCCUCAUGGAUUCUAGUCAGAUUCGUUUCCACUGAGCCACAACGGGAACUACUAAAUUUGGCAAUUUUAUGAUUCCCAGAGACUUGUGUCUUACAUAAAGUAAGCUGGUCAUACUUUUUGUAAAUGUUGAUUAGAUUGUAGUUUUUAAUUUAGAAAGGAAAAAUAUGUGAAAUAAGGAAAAAUUAAAACAUUGUGUCAUGUGAUUUUUUUUUUCUGUGUUUUGAUUAGAAGGUUGACUGUGUGGUUGAAUGAUGUCCUUUAUUAAAUCUGCUCAUUGUUAAGGUUAAAUAAAUACAGGCUUGAGUAAGAAUGAAAAAAAAAAAAA